AGGCACCCGACCGCUGGCACAGCCUCUCCUUCUGGGGGCUCCGGAGCAGGCAGCUGUCUUCCCCUUCACGCACUCCAGCUGACCCUAGAAGGAAGCAGAGGGACGGCGACAAGUGGCCAGUGUGGUUUUCCCCCUUUCUCCCUGGGUUCUGGCCCCUGAGGUCUGCUCCAGGCCCUCCAAUAAGCCAGUCUCUCUCCUGCCUUAAGGCCUUUGCUCGUGUUGUCCCCACGGCCUGUGGCCCAGCCCCGAACCUCUGACCUGUUGCUUCCUUCAUUCUUCGGAGAGCAGUUGAAUCUCCACACUGCAGAGGGCCCCGGAUCUUCUUGAAUCAGUGGCCUAAUGUGUAGCUGGUGUUACCCAAACAUGGACGGAUUCCCCUUGGCUGCGGAGCCAAGUAAGUGAUUUCUGCGACUGGAAGAAAAUGAGGACUCAAAAUAGGUAGGUGCCAACUGCAAGCUGCGGGGGAAAAAAGAAGAAAUGAAUAAA